GGGCCGGUACAGUGAGCAGGUCGUCAUCACACCCGUACGCGGAGAAGCCGGUGCAAUUCCGGCGCUGACCCGCAACCGUGAGCCACCCGCAGGGGUGGCGAGCCGGAUCGCCUCGUGCGGGACGUGACC
rfam:Actinobacteria bacterium OK006 ctg19, whole genome shotgun sequence.